UACGGGGGGAGCAAGCGUUGUUCGGAUUUACUGGGCGUAAAGGGCGCGUAGGCGGCGUGACAAGUCACUUGUGAAAUCUCCGGGCUUAACUCGGAACGGUCAAGUGAUACUGUCGUGCUAGAGUACAGAAGGGGCAACUGGAAUUCUCGGUGUAGCGGUGAAAUGCGUAGAUAUCGGAAGGAACACCAGUGGCGAAAGCGGCUUCCUGGUCCGACACCGACGUUCAGGCACGAAAGCGUGGGGAGCAAACAGG
rnacentral:rRNA from 1 species